GUGUGGAGUACGGCCACCANGCGACGACGGGUAGCUGGUCUGANAGGACUACCAGCCACACUGGAACUGAGAUACGGUCCAGACUCCUACGGGAGGCAGCAGUGGGGAAUAUUGCACAAUGGGCGAAAGCCUGAUGCAGCGACGCCGCGUGAGGGAUGAAGGCCUUCGGGUCGUAAACCUCUUUCGGCAGGGACGAAGCGAUCAGUGACGGUACCUGCAGAAGAAGCCCCGGCUAACUACGUGCCAGCAGCCGCGGUAAGACGUAGGGGGCGAGCGUUGUCCGGAUUCAUUGGGCGUAAAGCGCGCGUAGGCGGCUGCGCAAGUCGGUUGUGAAAUUCCGGGGCUCAACCCCGGAACUGCGUCCGAUACUGCGUGGCUAGAGGUAGGUAGGGGAGAUCGGAAUUCCUGGUGUAGCGGUGAAAUGCGCANAUAUCAGGAGGAACACCGGUGGCGAA
rnacentral:rRNA from 1 species